AUGGAUCUGUUCAAUUGGAGGAUUUCAUGGGUCAUCGAUUCAGUACCCACAUUAACGGGAACCGAUUACGAUUAUAUCAUACGUAAAACCCGGGAUGGAUUUUCAAUUUCUGGAGGAGGUCACGUCGAAUGUACUUAGGAUAGACCUAAUUAAGUAUGUUUGGGUGUAGACGCGGGUGAAAGGAUAGUUAGUAAUUACUAAUGUGUUAGAUGGGACGAGGGUGAGAAACGGACAGUAGGGAUAACAUGUUGUCGUUAUCACCACUAGGUAAAAGAAUAGGAGUGGGGCACCCAUUUAUGGUCAUUCUCAGUUGUCGCAUUCUAUUAUUGUUU
rnacentral:lncRNA from 1 species